AAUGGAGCACGUAAAAAGCUCACACAGUCAUUUUUAGAGGAUAAUUUUAUCAUCAUUAAUCCCUAUAAUUUGAUAAAGUUUUACUUUAGUCCCUUAAAAUGGUUGUGCAAGUUUUCGCAUGCUUGUUUCUUUCCAUUGUUAAUAUGGGGUCCGGUCAGACGAUGGUAGACUAAACAGAUGAUCACCCUUCCUAUGGAGGGAAAAUAGGGUCCCACUUAAAAAAAGGUUAAUAGUUGGAUAGAAUUUGUCAUCCAAUUGAAUAGGGUAAAUUACACUGCCCUUCCCUGAGAUUUUGGAUAAACAUACAAAUAUUGCCAAUAAUUUGUGAAAUAUCAAUGAUUUUCCUUACUUUUGAAGCUAUUAUCAAUAUUCCCGUACAUUUUCAUCACAUGCUCUAAUGAUUCUAUACGUCAUUAUAACUGGGUUUUUAGACCCUACUACUGCAUCCUAUUAGAUCCAGCCUCCAAGACGAAUGCAUAAAUUCAAUGAUAACCAUUAUUUUAUAUAGGAGGCUUAGUUAUUUGCACGCUUUUAAGUUUAUUACAGUAAAUAUUCACCAUUAAUAACAUGCGAUAUAAGUGGAAUAGUAAAUUGUAUUGUUUUCCUCAUUACAUUUGUAGCCAAUUUUAUGAAGCAUAUAUGUUUACUAACAUGAAAAUAUGCCUUAUACAACGAUAAAGUGGAAGAAAUAUAUUCAUCUACUGAGCAUGAAGUUUAGACCAGGAACGAAUAAAUUGUUUACAAGGAUGGAACUAGCCCAGGGCUUGUUUUGGUAAACUAGAACAUGGAUCAAGAUGAAUUGAAGUUGGAGGAAUAAUUAUCCUCUUAAACAAUAUGACACAGAAGUUAGAUUUGAAUCAAAAUAACACUCGGUCAAUACUUAUUACAUUUGAUGGAAUGGAGCAGUAAAAAGCUCACACAGUCAUUUUUAGAGAUAAUUGAUCAUCAAUUAAUCCCUAUAAUUGAUAAAGUUUUACUUUAGUCCCUUAAAAUGGUUGUGCAAGUUUUCGCAUGCUUGUUUCUUUCCAAAUUGUUAAUAUGGGUACGGGUUCAGACGAUGGUUAGACUAAACAGAUGAUCAGACCUUCUAUGGAAGGAAAAUAGGGUCCCACUUAAAAAAGGUUAAUAGUUGGAUAGAAUUUGUCAUCCAAUUGAAUAGGGUAAAUUACACUGCCCUUCCCUGAGAUUUUGGAUAAACAACAAAUAUUGCCCACUAAUUGUGAAUAUCAUGAUUUUCCUUACUUUUGAGCUAUUACAAUAUCCCCGUACAUUUUCAUCACUGCUCUAAUGAUUCUAUACGUCAUUAUAACUGGGUUUUUUAGACUCCUACCUACUGUCUCCUAUUAGAUUCCAGCCUCCAAGACGUAAUGCCUCAAUCAUUAUAAACAAUUAUUUGUAUAUAGGCUUAUUUAUUUGCAAGCUUUUAUUUAUACAGUAAAUAUUCACCAGUAAAAUCAUGCGAUAGUGGAAAUAGUAAAAUGGUAUGUUUUCCCUCAUUACAUUUGUAGCCAAUUUUUUAUACGCAUAAUAUUGUUAAACAUAAAAAUAUGCCUUACAACGAUAAAGUGAGAAGAAAUAUAUGCAUCUAACUGAGCAUGUAAGUUUAGACACAGAAAUUGUUUAAGAUAACUACUCCGAGGGAUGGUUUGGUAAACUAGAAACAUGAUAAGAUGAAGUUGAAGUUGGAGGAUAAUUAUCCUCUUAAACAAUUAAUGACACUAAGUUUAAAUUUGAAUUCAAAAUAAUCACGUCGGUUCAAUACUUAUAAGAAUUGGUAUGGGAUGGAGCACGUAUAAAAGCUCACACAGUCAUUUUUAGAGGAUAAUUUUAUUCCGCUUCAUUCCCUAUAAUUUGAUAAAGUUUGUACUGUAGUCCUUAAAAUGGUGCUGCAAGUUUCGACCUCAUGCUCUUGUUUCUUUCCAAAUUGUGAAAAUGGGUACGGGGUCAGACGAUGGGUUGUUAGAUUAAACAGAUGAUCAGACCGUCUAUGGAGGGAAAAUAGGAGGUCCACUAAAAAAGGUUAAUAGUUGGAUAGAAUUUGUCAUCCAAUUGAAUAGGGUAAAUUACACUGCCCUGUCCUGAGAUUUGGAUUUAACAUACAAAUUAUUGCCAAUCAUUUGUGAAAUUCAAUGAUUUUCCUUACUUUUGAAGAUAAUUAUCAUAUUCCGUACAUUUCAUUUCACCAUGUCUAAUGAUUCGAUACGUUCAUUAUAACUGGUUUUGAGACCCUUACUAUGAUCUAUUAGAUCAGCCUCCAAGACGAAUGCAUAAAUCAAUGAUAAACAAUUAUUUGUAUAUAGGCUUAGUUAUUUGCAAGCUUUUAUUUAUUACAGUAAAUAUUCACCAGUAAAAUACAUGCGAUAGUGAAAUAGUAAAAUGGUAUGUUUUCCCUCAUUACAUUUGUAGCCAAUUUUUAUGAAGCAUAAUAUGUUUAAACAUGAAAAUAUGCCUUACAACGAUAAAGUGAGAAGAAAUAUAUGCAUCUAACUGAGCAUGUAAG
rnacentral:lncRNA from 1 species